rnacentral:rRNA from 1 species
AAAUGACUCUCGGCAACGGAUAUCUCGGCUCUCGCAUCGAUGAAGAACGUAGCGAAAUGCGAUACUUGGUGUGAAUUGCAGAAUCCCGUGAAUCAUCGAGUCUUUGAACGCAAGUUGCGCCCGAAGCCUUUUGGCCGAGGGCACGUCUGCCUGGGUGUCACGC